AUUGAACGCUGGCGGCAGGCCUAACACAUGCAAGUCGAACGAGUGGCGGACGCGGGAGUAAUAUCUGUGAAACUGCCCGAUGGAGGGGGAUAACUACUGUAAACGGUAGCGCAUAUCGCAUACCCUCUGAUGUGCGCCGAUGGGAUUAGCUUGUAGGUGAGGUAACGGCUCACCUAGGCGACGAUCCCUAGCUGGUCUGAGAGGAUGAGCAGCCAAACUGGAACUGAGACACGGUCCAGACUCCUACGGGAGGCAGCAGUGGGGAAUAUUGGACAAUGGGGGAAAGCCUGAUGCAGCCAUGCCGCGUGUAUGAAGAAGGCCUUCGGGUUGUAAAGUACUUUCGGCAGGGAGGCGUUACCCGCAGAAGAAGCACCGGCUAACUCCGUGCCAGCAGCCGCGGUAAUUC
rnacentral:rRNA from 1 species